UGCCCUUUCCAAGUUUGUCUGCUCCUCAAC
rnacentral:piRNA from 1 species